rnacentral:misc_RNA from 1 species
CCAAUCAAUCAAACAAUAGAAGCAAGAAAAGAGAGCAAAUCUAGAGAAAUGACAUGGUGCAAUAAUAACUCAGUUGAUGAAAGAGCUAUUCAAUUAGUCACAGCCAGCUCCAAAGAAAACACUGUUAUUGAUACCAAAAUUGAUCAAAUUCGAACCAUAACUUGCCCUUCUUGCGGCCAUGAUAUCCAGUUGCAAGAUCAGGCUGGUGGGAUAGUUCAUGAUUUACCAGGG